UACAGGGGGUGCAAACGUUGCUCGGAAUCAUUGGGCGUAAAGCGCACGUAGGCGGUUCGUUAUGUCGGAUGUGAAAGCCCUUGGCUUAACCGAGGAAGUGCGUCCGAAACUGGCGAGCUAGAGUACGAAAGAGGAUCGCGGAAUUCCCGGUGUAGAGGUGAAAUUCGUAGAUAUCGGGAGGAACACCGGUGGCGAAGGCGGCGAUCUGGGUCGAUACUGACGCUGAGGUGCGAAAGCGUGGGGAGCAAACAGG
rnacentral:rRNA from 1 species